UACGUAGGGGGCGAGCGUUGUCCGGAAUGACUGGGCGUAAAGGGCGUGUAGGCGGCCAAUUAAGUCUGGAGUGAAAGUCCUGUUUUUAAGGUGGGAAUUGCUUUGGAUACUGGUUGGCUUGAGUGCGGAAGAGGUAAGUGGAAUUCCCAGUGUAGCGGUGAAAUGCGUAGAGAUUGGGAGGAACACCAGUGGCGAAGGCGACUUACUGGGCCGUAACUGACGCUGAGGCGCGAAAGCGUGGGGAGCGAACAGG
rnacentral:rRNA from 1 species